AUCAAUCUCUUCGGCAUUAAGAAUCAUUAAUAGUUUUGCAACCUUUCGUAUGAAAACAUUUUUCCUUGCAUUUCUAUGCUUCUUUUCGUAAUUUUCACUAAUUUCGGUUGCACGACUUAAAAUUGAAAACGGAAUUCCUGCCAUUCUAGCAACAUUUAACCCAUAACUUUUUGAAGCAACCCCAGGAACCAAUUUGUAAAGAAAUGAUAUAGACUGUG